rnacentral:snRNA from 1 species
AUGAGGGUGAUCUGGCUGCUACAUCUGAUUGCCAGGGUUGAUUCGGCUGAUCUGGCUAGCUAAGUGGGUGACCCCUUCCUCCCUAUGUACAUACCUUCCAAACCUGCACGCUCAAAGAGGACAACCUUCCCUGAACAGAGAAGGACCGGUCUUUGGUCAAGGGUAUACAAGUAGCUACACUUCCCUGCUAGAACCUCCAAAGAAGCUCUCAGAGUAGAUUAAUCUCCCAAACAAGCCUAUCACACCCAUUGAGAUUGAAAAGGUAAUCAUAAACCUCCCCAAAAAGAAGAGUCCAGGACCAAAUGGCUUCUUAGUGAAUUC